rnacentral:rRNA from 1 species
CCUGGCUCAGGAUGAACGCUAGCUACAGGCUUAACACAUGCAAGUCGAGGGGCAGCAUGGUCUUAGCUUGCUAAGACUGAUGGCGACCGGCGCACGGGUGAGUAACACGUAUCCAACCUGCCGUCUACUCUUGGACAGCCUUCUGAAAGGAAGAUUAAUACAAGAUGGCAUCAUGAGUCCGCAUGUUCACAUGAUUAAAGGUAUUCCGGUAGACGAUGGGGAUGCGUUCCAUUAGAUAGUAGGCGGGGUAACGGCCCACCUAGUCUUCGAUGGAUAGGGGUUCUGAGAGGAAGGUCCCCCACAUUGGAACUGAGACACGGUCCAAACUCCUACGGGAGGCAGCAGUGAGGAAUAUUGGUCAAUGGGCGAGAGCCUGAACCAGCCAAGUAGCGUGAAGGAUGACUGCCCUAUGGGUUGUAAACUUCUUUUAUAAAGGAAUAAAGUCGGGUAUGGAUACCCGUUUGCAUGUACUUUAUGAAUAAGGAUCGGCUAACUCCGUGCCAGCAGCCGCGGUAAUACGGAGGAUCCGAGCGUUAUCCGGAUUUAUUGGGUUUAAAGGGAGCGUAGAUGGAUGUUUAAGUCAGUUGUGAAAGUUUGCGGCUCACCCGUAAAAUUGCAGUUGAUACUGGAUAUCUUGAGUGCAGUUGAGGCAGGCGGAAUUCGUGGUGUAGCGGUGAAAUGCUUAGAUAUCACGAAGAACUCCGAUUGCGAAGGCAGCCUGCUAAGCUGCAACUGACAUUGAGGCUCGAAAGUGUGGGUAUCAAACAGGAUUAGAUACCCUGGUAGUCCACACGGUAAACGAUGAAUACUCGCUGUUUGCGAUAUACUGCAAGCGGCCAAGCGAAAGCGUUAAGUAUUCCACCUGGGGAGUACGCCGGCAACGGUGAAACUCAAAGGAAUUGACGGGGGCCCGCACAAGCGGAGGAACAUGUGGUUUAAUUCGAUGAUACGCGAGGAACCUUACCCGGGCUUAAAUUGCAGAUGAAUUACGGUGAAAGCCGUAAGCCGCAAGGCAUCUGUGAAGGUGCUGCAUGGUUGUCGUCAGCUCGUGCCGUGAGGUGUCGGCUUAAGUGCCAUAACGAGCGCAACCCUUGUUGUCAGUUACUAACAGGUUCCGCUGAGGACUCUGACAAGACUGCCAUCGUAAGAUGUGAGGAAGGUGGGGAUGACGUCAAAUCAGCACGGCCCUUACGUCCGGGGCUACACACGUGUUACAAUGGGGGGUACAGAGGGCCGCUACCACGCGAGUGGAUGCCAAUCCCCAAAACCUCUCUCAGUUCGGACUGGAGUCUGCAACCCGACUCCACGAAGCUGGAUUCGCUAGUAAUCGCGCAUCAGCCACGGCGCGGUGAAUACGUUCCCGGGCCUUGUACACACCGCCC